UGGUAUGACUGGUCUCGCUGAUCCCUCCUUUCUGAAGAACUGUAAUGUCAUUAAUUUGGUGUUGCAGGGAAACAGGACUGUUACUUUGAAAAAAUUAGAGUCGUUUAAAGCAGGCUAACGCUUGAAUACAUUAGCAUGGAAUAAUGAAAUAGGACGUUUAAACCUAUUUUGUUGGUUUCUAGGAUUGACGUAAUGAUUAAUAGGGAUAGUUGGGGGCAUUAGUAUUCAAUUGUCAGAGGUGAAAUUCUUGGAUUUAUUGAAGACUAACUACUGCGAAAGCAUUUGCCAAGGAUGUUUUCAUUAAUCAAGAACGAAAGUUAGGGGAUCGAAGACGAUCAGAUACCGUCGUAGUCUUAACCAUAAACUAUGCCGACUAGGGAUCGGAUGAUGUUAAUUUUUUAAUGACUCAUUCGGCGCCUUACG
rnacentral:rRNA from 1 species